ensembl:lncRNA
UACAAGUUAGGAACAGAGGGCAGAGGAGAGUGGAGGACAAGGUUCUUUCUUUCUUUCUUUCUUUCUUUCUUUCUUUCUUUCUUUCUUUCUUUCUUUCUUUCUUUCUUUCUUUCUUUCUUUCUUUCUUUCUUUCUUUCUUUCUUUCUUUCUUUCUUUCUUUCUUUCUUUCUUUCUUUCUUUCUCUCUUUCUCUCUUUCUUUCUCUCUUUCUCUGUUCUCUCUUUCUCUCUUUCUCUCUGUCUCUCUUUCUCUCUUUCUCUCUUUCUGUCUCUCUCUCUUUCUCUCUUUCUCUCUCUCUUUCUCUCUCUCUUUCUCUCUCUCUUUCUCUCUCUCUUUCUCUCUUUCUUUCUCUCUUUCUUUCUCUCUUUCUUUCUCUCUUUCUUUCUCUCUUUCUUUCUUUCUUUCUUUCUUUCUUUCUUUCUUUCUUUCUUUCUUUCUUUCUUUCUUUCUUUCUUUCUUUCUUUCUUUCUUUCUUUCUUUCUUUCUUUCUUUCUUCUUUCUUUUUUUCUGGCUAGAUAAUGGAGGGUUAUUUCUUGCUCAGGGUCAUCCAGCUAAGAAAUGUCUGAGGUUAUAUUUGCACCCAGGACCUUCCAUCUGUAGACCUGGCUUUCUAUCCACUGAACUGCCUCACUGCCCCUGAUAAUUGUAUUUCAAUGGAGCUGGUUUCUAUUGUAAUCCUAUAUCUUUUACUUGAUGCAUUUAAAAUUUGUUCUGAGAAGGUUAGUCUUCACCCAGCAAUGGAAGGGUCUAUGACAUAAAUGUGGUUAAGAUAUCCUGGUACAGGGGAGGAGACUCCAGAUGUUUAGAGGGAGGGUAGGCUGAAGAUGAAAGACUGGACAAAGGUCAAGAGAAUUAAGCUGUGUUCCUCCUGUCUUUGCCACUAAUAACAGUGUAACCUAGAGGUGGUUAGUAGCUGAGUGGACAGUCGCCUAGUGGAUAGACUUUCUGGAGGAAGGAGGAUCAGAAUUCAAAUUUGACCCCAAUAGAGAAUCAAAGGUAGAGAGGCAAAGAAAUCACGGCUAUUUAAAAGGAUUUGGUAGCCAUAAUUGGGAAAACAAUUUGUUCCUACAACUCUCCUGUUUGGCCAGUUAAAAGGAAAAAAGAGUGGUGAAGGGAGAUUUACGACAGACUCUAGAAAACCUAAUGCUGAAAUGGAACCUAUUAAGGGAGCCCUUCCAAAUAUUUCCAGAAUGAUUGAUGAAGUGAAAUGACACGGCGGACCUUGGUUUUCAGAUGUUGAUUUAAGUUAUGUGUUCUUUGCAGUACCUGAGCCCAAGGAAGCCAGAAAUGAUAUUUGCCUUCAACGUGGGAGGGAGCACAAUAUUACAUUCUGUAUUUUGACAUGAGGAUAAGUUAAUUGUUCAGUGUUAUAUCAUAAUUUAGGGUGGCUGGGUGGCCUGAAAGAUAGAAUGUCAAGCCUGAAAUAAGGAAGACUCUUAUUCUAGAGUUCAAAGCUGGCUUCAGAUGCUUACUAGCUGUGUGAUCCUGGACAAGUCACUUUGCCAUGUUUGCCUCAGUUUCCUCAUCUGUAAAAUGAACUGGAGAAGGAAAUGGCAAAUACUCCAGUAUCAUGGCCAAGAAAACCCCAGAUGAGGUCAUGAAGAGUCAGACAUGACUGAAAAAUGAUCAAACAACAGCAA